CUGGAGUUUUAUUAACAUGAGAAUAAAACAACUUUAAAUAGGAGUGUGAGUUACCUGCCCCUUCUAGACCAAUACAACAGUAAGAGAAAGGUCUCUUUGAAGCUAACACUGUAAUGUAACUAUUAGGCCAGUACAAAUAAAUAUACAAAAGCAGAGUUAAUACUGAAAUUCUGUGAUGAAUGCCAAAGUUGCUAAACGGUAUAUCAAUCUCCGUUAAGAUAUAUAUUUUUAAUUUUGCCACUAUUUUGGCAACCCACCACAUUACUGUAUAGUGCGUAAACAUACUGUAUACAGCUCCCUUUACAUGCUAUUCACAUCCCAUUGCUUUUACUCAGGUAACAAUCUAACAUUUUGGUAAAGAGAGAUAAGAAUGAUAAAAAUUAUUAACAGUAGGAAACCUAAUUUAACUUAAUCACCCGGACCCAACUUCUCCAUUGUAAUUUUACCAUGCAUAAUUAGGUAGUAGUUCACUUUAUUUGAAUGAUGUAAUCCUUACAGAAAUGUAUUUAAUAAUUGAUCUAUAUCCAGAGCCUGUUCUUUGGGUAUAAUUUAAUGAGUACACAGGUGUUUCAUACUAUGAGCAUUAUUAUAAAAACAAAUUAAAAUGCUUUUGGGUAGCAUAUUCCAAUAACAUUGCUCAGUUUUAUCAAUAUAAACAGGCAAUUGAAGGCUAGAGGAGCUGAGCUGACAGUAUAGCCGACUUCGAGAUAAUGCUUACCAUUUGACUAAUUUAGUGAAUAACCCUAAAAGGGCUGAAAUCAUUGGAGGGCGUUUAGAAAGUGGAAUUGUAGGAUAAAGUUCGAUAACCACAAUGGAAACCGAUGAAAUGCUUCUGCAGACGGCUCCAAUUUUAGAACACUGAUC